rnacentral:antisense_RNA from 1 species
UGUUAUGGCGGCUGUGCGCGGGGCACUUUGGGGUGCGCCGGGUUCCUAGAUCCAAGGUCUUCCCCACCUGCGUACAGUCGCCACCCAU